AGACUUACUUGGCUGGGGGCCAUCUCACGAUUACGAAGGUGGGGUCUCCAUGGUGAGGUCUGGUCAUUGCACUUUCGGUCAGGCUGACUUGUACAGCAUUCCCGAGUUGGGAUUGGUCGACAGCAUAAUUUUUGUAUUUGACAGAGCGUUCGCGCUUCCCUACU
rnacentral:snRNA from 12 species